CCUACGGGAGGCAGCAGUGGGGAAUAUUGCACAAUGGGGGCAACCCUGAUGCAGCGACGCCGCGUGAUCGAUGGAGUACUUCGGUAUGUAAAGCUCUGUCAGCAGGGAAGAGAAUGACGGUACCUGCCCAAGAAGCACCGGCUAAAUACGUGCCACCAGCCGCGGUAAUACGUAGGGGGCAAGGGUUGUCCGGAGUUACUGGGGGUAAAGGGAGCGUAGGCGGCAGGGCAAGGCUGAUGUGAAAGCCCGGGGGCCAACCCCGGGACUGCAUUGGGAACUGCCCCGCGCGAGUGCAGGAGGGGGAGGGGGAAUUUCCAGGGUAGCGGUGAAAGGCGUAGAUAUUAGGAGGAAAACCAGUGGCGAAGGGGGCCCGCUGGACGGUGUACUGACGCUGAGGCUCGAAAGCGUGGGGAGCAAACAGGAUUAGAUACCCGGGUAGUC
rnacentral:rRNA from 1 species